rnacentral:rRNA from 1 species
UAUGGAAGCUUGCUUCCACUGAGAAGAUAGUGGCGAACCGGGUGAGUAACGAACCGUGGGGUAACCUGCCCAUAAGAGGGGGAUAACAUCCGGAAACGGGUGCUAAUACCGCAUAGUUUUCUUGAUCGCAUGAUCGGGAAAGGAAAGACGGCCUUUGUGCUGUCGCUUAUGGAUGGACCCGCGGCGUAUUAGUUAGUUGGUGAGGUAACGGCUCACCAAGACGAUGAUACGUAGCCGACCUGAGAGGGUGAUCGGCCACAUUGGGACUGAGACACGGCCCAAACUCCUACGGGAGGCAGCAGUAGGGAAUCUUCCGCAAUGGACGAAAGUCUGACGGAGCAACGCCGCGUGAGUGAAGAAAGGUUUUCGGAUCGUAAAACUCUGUUGUCAGAGAAGAACAAGUUGGAGAGUAACUGCUCCAGCCUUGACGGUAUCUGACCAGAAAGCCACGGCUAACUACGUGCCAGCCGCCGC